rnacentral:rRNA from 1 species
GUGGGGAAUAUUGGACAAUGGGGGGAACCCUGAUCCAGCCAUGCCGCGUGUGUGAAGAAGGCCUUUUGGUUGUAAAGCACUUUAAGCGAGGAGGAGGCUACCGAGAUUAAUACUCUUGGAUAGUGGACGUUACUCGCAGUAUAAGCACCGGCUAACUCUGUGCCAGCAGCCGCGGUAAUACAGAGGGUGCAAGCGUUAAUCGGAUUUACUGGGCGUAAAGCGCGCGUAGGUGGCCAAUUAAGUCAAAUGUGAAAUCCCCGAGCUUAACUUGGGAAUUGCAUUCGAUACUGGUUGGCUAGAGUAUGGGAGAGGAUGGUAGAAUUCCAGGUGUAGCGGUGAAAUGCGUAGAGAUCUGGAGGAAUACCGAUGGCGAAGGCAGCCAUCUGGCCUAAUACUGACACUGAGGUGCGAAAGCAUGGGGAGCAAACAGGAUUAGAUACCCGAGUAGUCC